rnacentral:lncRNA from 1 species
UUAUUAUUCCCGACUUCCAGGUGAGAGACCUGAAGCAGACAGAGGUGAGGGAAUGAGCCCAGGCCGGGAGGACGCAGGGAGGCAGAAUCCAGCGUUCUAAACCUCUGCACAGUCCUGCUGUCACGACGAUUCCACCCGGCCAGGGCAGGCCCGAACCAGCCGGAGGCCACAGGAGAACCAAUGAGCCUGGCUGGACUCCUGCAAACCUUGAGGGACGCCGAGAUUCACAUUCACUGAAUUUUCAUGCCACGUGACACUCUUCUUCUUUUGUUCCCUCCCGCCCUGCCCCACGGAGCCAUUUAC